rnacentral:rRNA from 1 species
GAUGAACGCUGGCGGCGUGCCUAAUACAUGCAAGUCGAGCGAACAGACGAGGAGCUUGCUCCUCUGACGUUAGCGGCGGAAGGGUGAGUAACACGUGGAUAACCUACCUAUAAGACUGGGAUAACUUCGGGAAACCGGAGCUAAUACCGGAUAAUAUAUUGAACCGCAUGGUUCAAUAGUGAAAGACGGUUUUGCUGUCACUUAUAGAUGGAUCCGCGCCGCAUUAGCUAGUUGGUAAGGUAACAGCUUACCAAGGCAACGAUGCGUAGCCGACCUGAGAGGGUGAUCGGCCACACUGGAACUGAGACACGGUCCAGACUCCUACGGGAGGCAGCAGUAGGGAAUCUUCCGCAAUGGGCGAAAGCCUGACGGAGCAACGCCGCGUGAGUGAUGAAGGUCUUCGGAUCGUAAAACUCUGUUAUUAGGGAAGAACAAAUGUGUAAGUAACUAUGCACGUCUUGACGGUACCUAAUCAGAAAGCCACGGCUAACUACGUG